rnacentral:lncRNA from 1 species
GGGUGAUUUUUUUUGAUGCUAAAAGGAUUGAUAUUGAUAAAAAAAAAAUAGUAUGGAACAUGUUGAUGGUGUAAUAUAUAUCUAUAUAUAUAUAUAUAUAUAUAUAUAUCUGGUUUCUCUAAAUUAAUAAUAUUAGUAAUGUUAGAAUGAAUUGUGCCUUUGUAACUAAUUUAAUUAUUUAUUAUAUUAUUGUGUAAAUGAUUUUAAAAGAUAUUCCCCAGUUACAAGUUUGUGUUUAUCUUCUCCUUUGUCUUUUUGUUUUUUGUUUUUUGUAAAAAUUGAUUCAAUAAAGUUUUAAGAAUUAAAGAUUCAUCAAAUGUUUUGUGGUGUUUAUUGGAUCUUAUGAUGUAUAGAUGUCAAUUUAUUUAUUUUUAUUUUUUUUGGAAUAUAGGUGAAGAGAGAGUUUUAUGUAAGUUAUUUCCAACUUUAUCAAAAGGAUACAUGAGAAAUACAUAUGAUUAUGUGGUAUUAAGAUAAUUAUUUAAGAAAAAAUUAACAUGUAUAGUCUCAUUCCUAUACAAAGAGAUUUUCAUUACAAACUCUCUUCAAUCAAGCUUCGGUAUCUAAUUCUACUUGUAAAUUGGAUUUUUCAGGCCGCUAUCAGCACUAACAAUGCUUUAUUAAAAAUACUAUUUCAAAUAAAAUUCAACUAAAAUAUUAAAAUAUCACAAUCUCAAAACAACAACAAUUGUUAAUUACAAAAAAAAAGAAAAAUGAAAAAUGAAAAAAAAGAAAAAGAAAAAGAAAAAUUAGGAAAAUUCAUUGUUUUGCAAGGGCAAUACUAUUUUCAUUUUCUGCAAAGAAUAAUAUAUUGAAAUCUAGACUCCACUAUGUUCAUGUAAGUGUAACCUCUAUUAAUCAAUCUAUGAAUCACAUUAAAAAAUCGGAUUUUUGAAAGUUUGUAGAAAUUAACACAAACAGAAUUACAGUAUACUUGUUUUUUUUUUUUUUUUUUUUUUUUUUUUUGUGAUCAUAAAAAUUUAUUCCAUGAAAUUUGCCUUGACUUACUUUGUGAACUUUUAAAAAUUAAAUUUACAAAAACAAAUCAGUUAGUAACAUUAAAAAAACGACCAUAUCAACAUUUAAUUGGUAUCUUUUUUUUAAAUUCCUUGGACAAUAUCCAUUGGUUGAACUUUAAAUUUGAUAUUCAUAUUGUUUAAUUAACCAAGUAAGAAUCAAGAAAAGGUGUAUUUAUAGAAAAGAACCAAAUGCCUAAGAUGACAUAUAUCCAAGAUACUUUUAAAAAAUAAAAAUAAAUUCUUUUAUUUAUACAUGCUAUUAUUAUAAGAUAAAUAAAACAAAUCUAUGUAACCUGGUAAUAAUAAAUCCUGCUUAAAAUUAAUUUAGUAAAAUGUAUUGUGGAUUAAAAUCUACCUCAAGCAUGGUACUUAAUAACAUUGAAAAAAUUCAAAAAAAAUUGUUGUUAACUUCAUAAAUGUACUGGAAUAAAAUAAUAAUAAUAAUAAUAAUAACAAUAGUGUUGAUUUUUUUAACAAAUAAAAAUUAAACCUUACAUCAUAAGAAAAUUUACUUAGUACAAAUGCCUUUAUUGAAACAAUAACAAAAUUAUUCAAUUGAACAAUCACAUGUUACAGCAAGAAAUUAAUUAAUACAUGUACGUCAAUAGUUGAUUCAAUGACAUUGCAUAUUACAUCGGGAAAGUACCAAUGAGCGUCACAAUAACCUCAACACCAAUCGUUUUACGAUUUGGUUUUUUAACAUAAAAAAAAGUGUCAUACAAAUUGACAUAACUAUGUCAAUUUGCAUAAUUGGCAUUUGAAAAAAUAAGUCAUUGUUCUAUGGUGGUGAAGUUUUUGUUGAUCUAAUAGAAGACCAAAACAGCCCUACUUCACUAACGUCCCCGCACUUAAUAACUAGAGAAUUUGAACAGUGUAAGAAACACAUCUAUUGGCAUUUGAACACUGUUAGCAACAAUUUAAUUGAAACACAUAGAGAUUCAAUCUGUGGAAACCAAUGCAGAUUAAAGGAGCAAGAGUUCACCCACAAUAAAAUUCAUAAAUGAGGGCUUUUCCUUUACAUUACACAAUGCACAUCCAGGUUAUUUACACUUGCAAUAUAGGGGGAUGGAUACUGCAGAAUGUAAAAACAAAGCCUGCCUACAGGACCUACGUUUCCAGCCAAGUUUUGCACUUCAGUGUUGUUCGGCUGUCUUCAUCUCUCAAUAUUCUAUCUAAAUCUGGCUGGAGAUGAUAAAAGCCAGAAGACACAUACGGGCAUCUCAUUGUUUCCUACUCGAGAUAUUAACUCCACAAAAUCAACGACUCCAAGUCACACAUGAUGCUUGUGCACUUCAAGUUUGUGAGCUGUGUAGAGUCCGCGUACGUAAGUAAUUAGGAACCUGUAGCUAUACAAAGGUGCACUCUCCUGCAACAGUAGAUACUGGCCUCCUCUCCUCGUCGGCAUGAAGGGGACUCAAAUGCUUCUUAUCAAAUAGGGAAGAUUUGACUUCAAACAUCCGUGAGAACAGUUGUCCAAAGUCAGUUUUGACAAAUUGUUGGGCCUGUUGAUAAUCAACAGAUCUCUGGAAUGUGACUUUCUCGGCUUCCAAGAAGGGAAUUGGCUCUGGCAAAUCAUAACUGUCGUCAUUAGUUACAACUGUGGUACCUGGUGGUCCGGAAGGUGCCUCUGCUUCCACGGGUGAUCCGCAUUGCGCUAAAUGAAGGGCAAACUCCAUAUCUUCGUACACCUGCACGAAUGGUUGGACAUAUAUCAUUAACUGUUACUUGAUAACCACGUGAUUUCCACGGUGUACACUUCCACAGAUGCUGUGAAUCUGUCAUUGAUGUUUUCAGCAAA